UGAAUUAAGGGCAGUCAUCGCUAAUGGCAUCACAUCGAGCGCAAAAGAACCGGUGAACCGUUUUUUUUUUUUUCAACUGGUUUAUUUGAUCGAAUUGUCCGAAAGAACCGGUUCACUUGAGCACCUGCUCCUUUGCCCCAAAAAUUUAGUCGUAAAUAAAAUGACCAAUAUGUUGACCUUUCACCUGACCGGGAAAAUUCCUCAGGCCGCACGCGCAUUUUUAAUUGCUCAAAGAUAUUUUCAGAACCGUGGCAGCUGUUUUUAUCAUUUACGCACCGCUUCGGCUCAGAGUUUUGGAGAGGUUCUUUCCCUCAUUUUCAGCAAAACACUGAAUUUCAUCGGCUUCAUUCCACUCCUCUUCAGAAACAGAGAGAUGAGCUCGAGUGAAUUCUGUGGCUGAAUCAGUGUUGUUUGUCCAGGCAGACUCGGUCCAUCCAGCUCGCUCCUUCUGUCCAAUCAUCCAGAACACACGCACCUGAGACGGGACAAGUCCAGUCACGAGACACUGCAGUGAUACCGAUGGAGAAUCAGGUUCAUGUGGUGUGUAUAAGAUGGAGAGUUCUGGUUCAGAUUGAUCUCCAGCAGGGACAAUAAAGACAAAAUAUCAUUUGUUUUAGGAACUGUGACCCUAGAAAAGAUAUGGAAGAGAUUUCACAUCAAAUUUACCUUUUACGAUCACCCUGCUCCCAUUGCCGACGACAGCCAUAUCCAUAAAUCUGCUCAUGCAAUAGUACAAGCCUGAAUCUGUCUUGGUUACGUGUUUGAGAGUCAAAACACAGGUUUUACCAUCAGGCUGAAGGACAUUAUUCUCAUAGCUACUAUUGACUGUCGUGAGUUUUCCAGUCCGUAGAUUCAUCUUUUUCCAUGCAGCAGAGGUAUAGCAGUACCUUAGGGUCUGCUCAAAUAUACAUCUUAACUCUACAGAACCACCGACUGAGACGAGUGUGAGUCCUGGAGACUGAGUCAAGAUGAAUGACUGAGUAGCUACAAA